rnacentral:ncRNA from 2 species
GAUAAACUUUAGGGGUGUUUUUUUGUAGUAAAAACAAAAAAACUGAGAGUUACCCUUUGAACCUGAAUGAGCUAGUACUUGCGUAGGGAAAAGUAGAAGUUUUAAG